ensembl:lncRNA
AUUUUGACUUAUUUUUGAACUCUUGUGAUCAGUAUGACUAGAUUGUGUGAGUUUCCAUACUAAAAGAGCUGUAGUGAUAAAAUAAUUGGCAUCAGAGACACUGAUUUUUGGCAUGGUAUACUGCAGAAGUUUUUUUUUUUUUUUUUGCAUAAUUUACCUUUUAAUUAAACUGCAUUCUCUGUAUUGUAACAAAACUAACAUUGUUUAUAUGUCAGAAAAUUAGCAAACAUGAAUAAAUGGCGAAAACAAUAUAAUUAUAACAUAUAUUUUUAUUUGACUUAUUUUAGGUCUGUGAAGCCAAACUUGAUGCUGGGGAUUUAUUUUUGUCAGUGGAGUCAAAUGGUUGAAGCAGAAUUUGCCCGUCUUACAUCUGUUGACCUGAAAGGGUUCCUUUUUGCUGUGCUUGACCAUUAUGGAGAGGUUCGUGGAGCUGUACAAAAUCAAGAGCGGCAUAGGAGGGCUAACUAGGCUCAUAAAAUGCUUCAAUGAUGAUAGCCCUACACAAAGGAAGAGGACAGAGGACCUCAUUUUCUA